AGUGAACGCUGGCGGUAGGCCUAACACAUGCAAGUCGAACGGCAGCACAGGAGAGCUUGCUCUCUGGGUGGCGAGUGGCGGACGGGUGAGGAAUGCAUCGGAAUCUACUCUUUCGUGGGGGAUAACGUAGGGAAACUUACGCUAAUACCGCAUACGACCUACGGGUGAAAGCCGGGGACCUUCGGGCCUGGCGCGAAAGAAUGAGCCGAUGCCCGAUUAGCUAGUUGGCGGGGUAAGAGCCCACCAAGGCGACGAUCGGUAGCUGGUCUGAGAGGAUGAUCAGCCACACUGGAACUGAGACACGGUCCAGACUCCUACGGGAGGCAGCAGUGGGGAAUAUUGGACAAUGGGCGCAAGCCUGAUCCAGCCAUACCGCGUGGGUGAAGAAGGCCUUCGGGUUGUAAAGCCCUUUUGUUGGGAAAGAAAAGCAGUCGGUUAAUACCCGAUUGUUCUGACGGUACCCAAGAAUAAGCACCGCUAAUUCCA
rnacentral:rRNA from 1 species